rnacentral:tRNA from 1 species
UGGGUUGUGGCUCAGUGGUAGAGCACUCGACUGGCACAUGUGAGGCACUGGGUUCGAUCCUCAGCACCACAU